UACAUGGGGUGCAAACGUUGCUCGGAAUUAUUGGGCGUAAAGCGCGCGUAGGCGGUUGCUUAAGUCAGAUGUGAAAGCCCUCGGCUUAACCGAGGAAGUGCAUCUGAGACUGAGCAGCUAGAGUAUGAAAGAGGGUCGCGGAAUUCCCGGUGUAGAGGUGAAAUUCGUAGAUAUCGGGAGGAACACCGGCGGCGAAGGCGGCGACCUGGUUCAAGACUGACGCUGAGGCGCGAAAGCGUGGGGAGCAAACAGG
rnacentral:rRNA from 1 species